rnacentral:rRNA from 1 species
ACGCUCGACACCUACGGGUGGCAGCAGUGGGGAAUAUUGCACAAUGGGGGAAACCCUGAUGCAGCAACGCCGCGUGAAGGAAGACGGUUUUCGGAUUGUAAACUUCUGUUCUUAGUGAAGAUAGUGACGGUAGCUAAGGAGCAAGCCACGGCUAACUACGUGUCAGCAGCCGCGGUAAUCUGAGCGGGCUGGCAAGGC